GAAUGAUUUUGAGCGGUCGUUUACAGACACCGAAAAAUUAAAUACAUUUUAGUUAAAAUUAUACAGCGAAUUACCAGUUCAUCCCGUUUUUUAAGAAAAUUACAGAGAGAAUUAAAAAUUACCUCUCACCAACUAGAUCAAAUAUAUUUGAUCUAGUUAUAACACAGGCAAAUUCGUAUACAUUUUUGACUGGAGCGAGUUUUCCGGCGGUAAAGUUGUUUAUGGACACACACAAAAAAAAAACACAUAAUAGUCAAGCUAUUAAAAGACUUGUUUCUCUCAGAAUCUAAAAUAUUUCGUCUAAUCGAUUUCGUUUGCGAGAAAUAUUUUAUAACCAGCGUAAUUUUAUUAUGUAACGUAGUCUAAAAUACCUAACAUAUAACUCCAUUAU